rnacentral:rRNA from 1 species
GGUUAAGCGACUAAGCGUACACGGUGGAUGCCCUGGCAGUCAGAGGCGAUGAAGGGCGUGCUAAUCUGCGAUAAGCGCCGGUAAGGUGAUAUGAACCGUUAUAACCGGCGAUACCCGAAUGGGGAAACCCAGUGUGAUUCGUCACACUAUCAUUAACUGAAUCCAUAGGUUAAUGAGGCGAACCGGGGGAACUGAAACAUCUAAGUACCCCGAGGAAAAGAAAUCAACCGAGAUUCCCCCAGUAGCGGCGAGCGAACGGGGAGGAGCCCAGAGCCUGAAUCAGCAUGUGUGUUAGUGGAAGCGUCUGGAAAGGCGCGCGAUACAGGGUGACAGCCCCGUACACAAAAGCGCAUGUGCUGUGAGCUCGAUGAGUAGGGCGGGACACGUGGUAUCCUGUCUGAAUAUGGGGGGACCAUCCUCCAAGGCUAAAUACUCCUGACUGACCGAUAGUGAACCAGUACCGUGAGGGAAAGGCGAAAAGAACCCCGGCGAGGGGAGUGAAAAAGAACCUGAAACCGUGUACGUACAAGCAGUGGGAGCCCCACCACUAAGCCAGUGGUGAACUCCACAUACGCAUCCUUUGCUGAGGAUACGGUUAACGGAGCGAAAGCGACGUUCAACCGCAAAAGAAGCAGAGGGGGCUUAGUGGUGG